CUAGCGUUUGGCCAGAAGCCAAACUGGGUUGUUUUCGGUGAGCUUCUGUCAGCUGUCGACCAGUACUUGGUAUGUGUAACCGCGUUUGAUUUCGAGGCUUUGUCUAUGCUUGAUCCACCUCCACCUUUUGAUGCAUCUCAUAUGGAUGAGUGGAGGCUCAGAGUGAAAAAGGUGGCUGGUUGUAGCAGCACUCUGCUGAAACGAUUCUGUGGGAAAUCUAACCGUAGUCUGCUUUCCAUCGUCUCUCGUGCUAGGUCUCUUUGUGAGGAUGAGAGGAUUAAUAUUCAAGUUGAUGUAGAUCAGAACGAGAUUCUACUAUAUGCGCCUCCCCACGACAUGGACAAAGUGUUGUCCCUAGUGAACGAUGCAUUGGAAUGCGAAAAGAAGUUGAUGCGUAACGAAUGUUUUGAGAAGUAUAUAUAUCAUGGUCGAGGAGAAGUACCCCUUGCACUGUUCGGAUCCGGCGCUCAGAUAAAGCAUCUUGAAGUUGAUCAGAGAUUCUUGACAGUCGAUGUACUCUAUUACGGCGACAACUCUCUUGAUGACAGAGAGAUUCUGACGUUCCUGGAGAAGGAGAUCGAUGGAUGUAUCUGCUCCAUUCAUAAGUUUGCUGGUAACAAGCAAGACUGUGAUGAGAAGGAGAAGUGGGGUAGGGUUACCUUUCGGACUCCGGAGUCUGCUAUGAAGGCAACAGAGAUUCAAAAGUUUGAUCUCAACGGAUCAGUGAUUAAACUAUUUCCAUCGCUGUCAGCUGGUGGUGAAGGAGUUUUCAAGAUGCCUUCUGUUACAGCUAUGAUUCGUUGGCCGCAAAGGGAAAGUUGUGGUAAAGGUGUUCUUAAGUGUGCUUCUGGUGAUAUUCACAGUAUCUUUGCUGGGUCAUCCGGCAUCAUGAUAGGAACAAAAUAUUGCCCCUUUGAGACGGAUCAAAGACACACUGAUUCUAUUUUGAUUACUGGUAUUGACACAAAUCUUUCGGAUGCUGAAGUUUUAGAUGUUUUGGAGUUCGCUACGCAGAGAACAGAUUUGGAAUUUUUCUUAUUCAGAAGAGGAAAUAUUGUGCAUUGUCAAGAUCUUACUGUUUGUAAAGAUAUGCUGCAUAAGAGAAUAUUUGCGCGCUUGUCAUCGAGGAAUCCAGACCCAAAGUGUGUUGAAGUCAAAGUCUUUGAACCAAAAGAAGCUAAUUUUGUGCGAGCGUUGAUUACUUUUGAUGGGAGAUUACAUCUGGAAGCUGCAAAAGCUUUGCAGGAGUUAGAUGGAACUAUUCUAGAUGGAUGCUAUCCAUGGCAGAAGAUAAAAUGCGAGCAAAAGUUUCAGAGCUCCAUAAUCUGUCCUGCUUUUAUCUACAACAUAGUCAGAAGACAAUUAUAUGCUAAGCUAGCAAGCUUCAAGAGACAAAGAAGUGAUUCCAUUGCCACAUUUGAGAUGUUUGCUCUCUAUCACCUAUUAUUCAUUAACAUUCUCUUUUAUGUAUUUUGCAGAAUGUGAAUGGCAUCUGGAGGCAAUUCAUAGUGGUGCUUAUCGUGUUAAAAUCUCCGCAAAUGCAACAAGACGCAUCUCGGAGAUGCGGAGAUCUCUCGAAGAACUCAUAAGAGGAAGACCCAUAAUAAACCAUCCAGGCUUAACCCCAAGGGUCUUGCAGCAUCUUUUGUCCAGAGAAGGUGUUAUCCUGAUGCGGAAGAUCCAACAGGAGACUGAAACUUGCAUUGUGGUAGACAGGCAGAGUCUCGCAGUACGCAUUUGUGGAUCAGAAGAGAGAACCGCUGCGGCUGAACAAGAGCUGGUUCGGUCGCUUCUGGCUUAUCACGAGAGCAAGCAGCUUGAAAUCCGCCUCCGAGGUCCGAAUCUCCGUCCUGAUCUCAUGAAGGAAGUUGUGAAUCGGUUUGGUCCAGAGCUCCAAGGUAUUAAAGAGAAGGUGAAUGGUGUGGAUCUCAAGCUCAACACUCGGAACCAUGUUAUUCAUGUUCAUGGGAGCGUGGAGAUGAGGCAGGAAGUAGAGAAGAUGGUCUAUGAACUUGCACGGGAAGAAGGUAGUGCACUGGGCGGUACUAAACCAGAUGAGAUUGAAGUUGAAUGCCCUAUUUGCUUGUCUGAGGUUGAGGAUGGCUACUCUCUCGAAGCAUGUUCACACCUCUUCUGCAAAGCUUGUUUGUUGGAACAGCUCGAGGCGUCGAUGAGAAACUUUGACGCAUUUCCCAUAAUCUGUUCUCACAUCGACUGUGGAGCUCCUAUAGUACUUGCUGAUAUGAGAGCCCUCUUAUCACAAGAGAAGCUCGACGAACUCUUCAGAGCAUCCCUCUCCUCUUUUGUAACAACCAGCGAUGGUGAGUUCCGGUUCUGCUCCACACCUGACUGCCCUUCCAUCUACCGCGUUGCCGGUCCUCUAGAUUCAGGGGAGCCAUUUUUCUGCGGAGCGUGUAACUCACAGACGUGCACGAGGUGCCACCUGGAGUAUCACCCGUACAUCACUUGCGAAAGGUACAAACUGUUCAAGGAGGAUCCUGACAUGUCGUUGAAGGACUGGGCGAAAGGGAAGAACGUGAAGGAGUGUCCGUGUUGCAAGUCGACGAUAGAGAAAUCUGAAGGGUGUAACCAUCUGCUGUGCCGGUGUGGGAAUCACAUUUGCUGGGUCUGCUUAAGGUGGUUCGCUCAACAAGAACCUUGUUAUGAACAUUUGAGAGGAGUCCAUGGUGGGAUAGGCCUCUUCGAUGAGCUAGGCAUGCCCAUGCUUUGAAGUACCUCUCCAAAAAAAUGUACAAAUUUGUUUUAAGUAGAGGUCCAUGUAUAUCUAUAUUGUGUAACAUUAUCUGGUUUGGUUCAUAUGUAAUUAUGUCGAGAGAUUGGUUCAGUAGUAUACCUUCUUUAACCAAUACAAACCGAAAACUCAUAAACUUGAUGCCAAGGUAUGAAGAGUUUUGGUAUCAACGACUUGAAGCUUGACUUGUUAACAUCACUGAAAACGCGUAAACGUCUACAGAGAGUUCACUAAUAAGUCUAGUUUUGGGUCAAGACAAAGUUGAAAGGAAACUACUUUCCAAAGACGUACAGAGACAUCCCUUUAAUGGCAUUUAUCACACACCUUCCACGAAAUUUCCACCCACUUCCAAACCCUAUCAAAGGACUGAUCCUCAAUUCUUAUUAGAGUCCGGUAGAUUGUGAUCUCUGUCCCCUUAUAAACUCAACACGUUCUUGGAAUUUUUGGGGUCAUGACUUGACUAUGUGUAGAUUCUAACGUCAAUAUGGGUUUUAAAUUUCAUCUAGUGCCCCUAUUUCUUCUCUCUUUCUUCAAGAGCAAAAACUUAGUUUUGUGUCCGAAACCCAUUUAUCUCUGUUCGUGCUCUGUUUUAACUACUAGUUGUCUCUUGAAAAAGUAAAGUCCCCUGUUUUUUCUCUGAAAAUGGCGUCCCAUAACAGGAAGAUGCUUUAUCCAUUUCAACCCGGACAAAAUUGCACCUUCGGGCUCUACUUCCCUUUUAUUCCGACAUACCCACCACCACCUCCGCCGCCGCAGAGAGAUCUCUCUGUUAUAGUCUCCACCUCAAUCUGCAUAAUAGGCUCACUCCUACUCUUCCUAUUCCUCAUCGUCUUCCUCUACCUCUACAUCACGAAGUCAUCAAGACGGAGGAGCUCACCUUCCGCAGUGGCUCCCGUCGUCAGCACCAGACGAAGAGAGGAAGAGAACGAAGAAGAAGAAGCCGGAGGAGGAGGAGAAAGAGAUCAUCAUCACUUCUGGAGCAUCGCAACGCUCGGUCUCCACCGCUCAGAUAUCGAUUCUAUAACAGUCGUCGUGUUCAAGAAGGGAGAAGGGAUCAUCGACGGCACGGACUGCUCCGUCUGCUUGAGCGAAUUCGAAGAGGGCGAAGGGGUUAGGCUGUUGCCGAAGUGUAGCCACGCCUUCCACGUCAGCUGCAUCGACACGUGGCUUCUCUCUCACAAGAACUGUCCUUUGUGCCGCGCCCCUGUUUUCUCCCCCGAGGUGCGUGAUAAAGAAACAGAGACGAGUCAUCAGACAGAGUCUGGAACAAGAGAUGAAGAGAGUUCGGGAUCGAGAAACGGUAAUGUUGUUCUUCCGAGGUCACAAAGCGAUUUGGCUAGCCGUUGCGGCGAAGGAAGGUUGGAGACUGUGAGAAGAUCGUUUUCGAUUGGAGGAAGCUCGUUAGUUAAAGCUGAAGGUGGAAGUAGAAGACACUUCUACAGCAGCUUCAGUGCUAAUUUCUUCUCUUCAUCAAGAAGAACAACGAACCAAGACUCGGUUCUCCCGAGCUGAAUGCCUUCUAGACCGUUUAAAUAUCUAGUGUUGUCGUAUUUGAAAUAAACGGAUUGUUUCAAUGGUUUGUUAAGAUUAUAUAAUGAUUUUAAAUAAAGAGAUAUGGGCAAUUAAGGUUAAAUUAAACAAGAACAAUUCUCACUGAGACAUUUCGUCGAACACGUUCAGGACUACAACAUCGAACUAAAGACUAAUUAAAAUCCAAGAAACAGAUUGAUAGAUAGCAUAAGAGUCUCUCAAGCUCUUUCGCCUCUGAUUCUUCUUGCCAGCUGGAUGUCCUUUGGCAUGAUUGUUACUCUCUUCGCGUGAAUCGCGCAGAGAUUCGUGUCUUCGAACAAACCAACAAGGUAAGCUUCGGCUGCUUCUUGAAGAGCUGCGACGGCGCUGCUCUGGAACCUCAGAUCGGUUUUGAAAUCCUGAGCGAUCUCACGGACAAGACGCUGGAAGGGGAGCUUGCGGAUCAGAAGCUCCGUGCUCUUCUGGUACUUCCUGAUCUCCCUCAACGCCACCGUUCCGGGACGGAAUCUGUGCGGCUUCUUCACCCCGCCGGUGGCCGGAGCGGAUUUUCUUGCGGCUUUCGUCGCGAGCUGCUUCCUUGGUGCUUUGCCUCCGGUGGAUUUCCUAGCGGUUUGCUUGGUACGAGCCAUAUCGAUAUCAAAAAAAUCACUACGAACAGUCUAGAGAAUGAGAAUGCAAAUGCGAAAGAAAGUUAAGUAGUGAAGAACAAAGGUUGAAGAUGUGUUGAUUUUAUAAGAAAGAGAAAUUGGCGGUGAGUUGGAAAAAGGGCUUGGUAAGUUGAUUUUGGGAUGCUUCAGACACAGAAUGGGCAAAGAGGGGAUUGUUCUUGCUGCUGUCAUGGCCAAUGCUAGUAGUAUAUUUUGCAGAGUUGGUAACCUUGAUGAUAAGAUGAAAGCUGAUUGCCUAAAGGUAAGAUAUUCUCUACUUUUGUAAAUAGUUUAGAUCCUCUUAGAAGAUGUUGUUCUGAAAUUUUUUUUUCUUUGUCAUCUUCAAGGUGAAGUUCUGCAACAAUAAUGGAGACCUCUUCACUCUUCUUUCGGUGUACAAAGAAUGGGCAUCUCUGCCGCGAGAGAGAAGAAACAAAUGGUGCUGGGAAAAUAGCCUGAACGCCAAAUCAAUGAGGAGAUGCGAAGACACAGUCAAGGAGCUGGAGAUAUGCAUUGAGAGAGAACUUUCUCUCGUCAGUCCAACCUACUGGGUUUGGAACUCAACCGAGGGUAAUGAUAAACACGAGAAGCAUCUGAAAAUGGUUAUACUUGCGUCUCUUGCCGAGAACGUGGCGAUGUACACUGGCUAUGAUCAGCUCGGGUACGAGGUAGCGUUGACUGGGCAACAAGUCCAGUUGCAUCCGUCGUGUUCGUUGCUAGCGUUUGGCCAGAAGCCAAACUGGGUUGUUUUCGGUGAGCUUCUGUCAGCUGUCGACCAGUACUUGGUAUGUGUAACCGCGUUUGAUUUCGAGGCUUUGUCUAUGCUUGAUCCACCUCCACCUUUUGAUGCAUCUCAUAUGGAUGAGUGGAGGCUCAGAGUGAAAAAGGUGGCUGGUUGUAGCAGCACUCUGCUGAAACGAUUCUGUGGGAAAUCUAACCGUAGUCUGCUUUCCAUCGUC
rnacentral:lncRNA from 1 species